AAACUUCAUCGUUUUGUAUCGCCGUCAUUGCAGUACUAGUGCGCCACAGGGACAUAUCCCAUGCACAAUAGAUGGCGUCACCAGGGCGUACUUGGAAAAUCAAGAAAACAACAACAAGAGAAAAAGUGAAGGAAACCACCAAAAAGGCUUGGACUACAAAAUGUUCCCAUCUCCUCCCCCGAACAACAUGGCGGACCACUACUAUCCACUCUCUGAAGAAGACUGCGUCAAAGGAAGUCAAGGUACGAAAGAAAUCUCCAACCCCGGCCUUGUUGCCCAGGCGUGUGAGAUCACCAGCACAGCAGGAAAGGGCGAAAGCGUGGCAUCUACUUCUUCCCUCAGGUCAUUAUGACCAGGCAAA